AGCGAAUGAAGACAGCCCUACUUCUUCGCCUUGUGACGAGCCUUGUACAGCAGGUCAAACAUGUUUAAGAAGGGCUGAUGGAAGUUAUGCAUGUUUAUCAUUAAACGUCGGAAGAGGCACUUUCUACAGCUUUGGAGAUUUGAACGGCUAACAUUUACCGUACUACAUGAAACAAAUACUUUCAGUAAAAGAAAUAAUGGAAUAGAAGAAGCAUUUUAUAAACAAUAACAAUAAAGUAAACCUAUUUUGCACUGGCUAUUGUUACACCAGUCUUAAACGAAUUCCUAACUGCGAUUGUGAGUAGGAAUCCGUUUAAGACUGGUGUAACUAUAUAGCCGCUGCCAACUUAUUUAGCUUCCCCCAACUAUUAUACUAUUUGUAAGUGAUUGUGUGGAAAAACAAUGAAAAUUAAACUUAAAACCCUGUGAGCUUGUACCACUG